rnacentral:rRNA from 1 species
AUUGAACGCUGGCGGCAGGCCUAACACAUGCAAGUCGAGCGAGCGGCGGACGGGUGAGUAAUGUCUGGGAAACUGCCUGAUGGAGGGGGAUAACUACUGGAAACGGUAGCUAAUACCGCAUACCAUCAGAUUUGCCAAGAUGGGAUUAGCUAGUAGGUUGGGUAACGGCUCACCUAGGCGACGAUCCCUAUCUGGUCUGUGAGGUUGACCCUCCACACUGGCACUUAGACACGGUCCAGCCUCCUACGGGAGGCAGCAGUGGGGAAUAUUGCUCAAUGGGCGCAAGCCUGAGGCAGCCAUGCCGCGUGUGUGAAGAAGGCCUUCGGGUUGUAAAGCACUUUCAGCGGGGAGGCGUUACCCGCAGAAGAAGCACCGGCUAACUCCGUGCCAGCAGCCGCGGUAAUUC